rnacentral:rRNA from 1 species
UACGAAGGGGGCUAGCGUUGUUCGGAAUCACUGGGCGUAAAGCGCACGCAGGCGGAUCGUUAAGUCAGGGGUGAAAUCCCGAGGCUCAACCUCGGAACUGCCUUUGAUACUGGCGAUCUUCGAGUCCGGGAGAGGUGAGUGGAACUCCGAGUGUAGAGGUGAAAUUCGUAGAUAUUCGGAAGAACACCAAUGGCGAAGGCGGCUCACUGGCCCGGUACUGACGCUCAGGUGCGAAAGCGUGGGGAGCAAACAGG